rnacentral:misc_RNA from 1 species
AAGUCGUAACAAGGUUUCCGUAGGUGAACCUGCGGAAGGAUCAUUAAAACACGAUUCCAAAUCGUAUUAACCAACCGCGCACCCGUUUUGUUUCUCUAACUUCACCAGAAAUGAAAAGCUUGAGAGUUGAGGCAGUGUGGCUUCGCUUGCGAGGCUCGCUCUCUUGCCCGUCUGAGCCUCUGCGUUCAGAGAGUUCUGGUGUGAGUAUGCUGCCGCGCUCCUUCAGAGCCGCAAGGUUCUGAUUGAGUCGCUUUUAUUUCUAUUUACCCUAUUUCUAAGUUGUACUAAAAAGUUUUUCUUUCGUUAAGAAACAAAAGAACAACUCUUAGCAACGGAUAUCUAGGCUCUC